UGUGCAGACUCCCUGGUAAACUACACUGGAGCACAAUCAACGUACCGCAUAAUCUAUUACAAUGAUGAGUCUAUGGUUCUCGGGGACAAGAUGCCAACCGUAUCGGAACGAGCGAUAUGUUCACUCUGGGUGAAGGAGAACUUCACUCUAGAACACCAAAUCCCUUUCAUGGCAAACUUGUCUUUUCAUACAAGCUGCAAAAAUGCACUAUACUAUGGAUAUCUCCAUACCUGCAGCAAGUAGUAGGACGCUCGUGGAACACGAAUAAAUUUUUCUGACAGAAACGGUA
rnacentral:lncRNA from 1 species